rnacentral:rRNA from 1 species
UCCUACGGGGGGCAGCAGUGAGGAAUAUUGGUCAAUGGGCGAGAGCCUGAACCAGCCAAGUCGCGUGAGGGAGUACUGCCCUAUGGGUUGUAAACCUCUUUUGUCGGGGAGCAAAAGCCGGACGUGUCCGGCUGUGAGAGUACCCGAAGAAAAAGCAUCGGCUAACUCCGUGCCAGCAGCCGCGGUAAUGCGGAGGAUGCGAGCGUUAUCCGGAUUUAUUGGGUUUAAAGGGUGCGUAGGCGGAUUUUUAAGUCAGCGGUAAAAUGUCCGGGCUCAACCCGGGCCGGCCGUUGAAGCUGGGGAUC